GACGAACGCUGGCGGCGUGCCUAAUACAUGCAAGUCGAACGCUUUUUCUUUCACCGGAGCUUGCUCCACCGAAAGAAAAAGAGUGGCGAACGGGUGAGUAACACGUGGGUAACCUGCCCAUCAGAAGGGGAUAACACUUGGAAACAGGUGCUAAUACCGUAUAACACUAUUUUUCGCACGGAAGAAAGUUGAAAGGCGCUUUUGCGUCACUGAUGGAUGGACCCGGGGUGCAUUAGCUAGUUGGUGAGGUAACGGCUCACCAAGGCAACGAUGCAUAGCCGACCUGAGAGGGUGAUCGGCCACACUGGGACUGAGACACGGCCCAGACUCCUACGGGAGGCAGCAGUAGGGAAUCUUCGGCAAUGGACGAAAGUCUGACCGAGCAACGCCGCGUGAGUGAAGAAGGUUUUCGGAUCGUAAAACUCUGUUGUUAGAGAAGAACAAGGAUGAGAGUAAAAUGUUCAUCCCUUGACGGUAUCUAACCAGAAAGCCACGGCUAACUACGUGCCAGCAGCCGCGGUAA
rnacentral:rRNA from 1 species